rfam:Firmicutes bacterium CAG:227 genomic scaffold, scf59
CAAAACAAAGAUAAAAACGCAACGUACAUCUUUGAUGUGCCAGAGCCGGUAGGUAGCCCGGUCGUCCUAUAUAAAUAGGGUAAGUAACCUGCCCCUCCGGGUUGUCCUCUGUUGUGUAAAAAGUUU